AACGCGAAGAACCUUACCCAGGUUUGACAUGCAGCAGACAGCGCCAGAGAUGGCGUCUUACUUCGGUACUGCUGCACAGGUGCUGCAUGGCUGUCGUCAGCUCGUGCCGUGAGGUGUUGGGUUAAGUCCCGCAACGAGCGCAACCCUUAUCACUAGUUGCCAGCACGUUAUGGUGGGAACUCUAGUGAGACUGCCCGGGUUAACCGGGAGGAAGGUGAGGAUGACGUCAAGUCCGCAUGGCCCUUAUGUCUGGGGCUACACACGUGCUACAAUGGCCGGUACAAUAGGCAGCGAAGCCGCGAGGUGGAGCAAAUCCCUAAAACCGGUCCCAGUUCGGAUUGUAGUCUGCAACUCGACUACAUGAAGUUGGAAUUGCUAGUAAUGGCGAGUCAGCAACAUCGCCGUGAAUACGUUCCCGGGCCUUGUACACACCGCUACAGU
rnacentral:rRNA from 1 species